rnacentral:rRNA from 1 species
AUUGAACGCUGGCGGCAGGCCUAACACAUGCAAGUCGAGCGGAUGAAGGGAGCUUGCUCCUGGAUUCAGCGGCGGACGGGUGAGUAAUGCCUAGGAAUCUGCCUGGUAGUGGGGGAUAACGUCCGGAAACGGGCGCUAAUACCGCAUACGUCAUGAGGGAGAAAGUGGGGGAUCUUCGGACCUCACGCUAUCAGAUGAGCCUAGGUCGGAUUAGCUAGUUGGUGGGGUAAAGGCCUACCAAGGCGACGAUCCGUAACUGGUCUGAGAGGAUGAUCAGUCACACUGGAACUGAGACACGGUCCAGACUCCUACGGGAGGCAGCAGUGGGGAAUAUUGGACAAUGGGCGAAAGCCUGAUCCAGCCAUGCCGCGUGUGUGAAGAAGGUCUUCGGAUUGUAAAGCACUUUAAGUUGGGAGGAAGGGCGGUAAGUUAAUACCUUGCUGUUUUGACGUUACCAACAGAAUAAGCACCGGCUAACUUCGUG